AUGAGAAAUUCAAGUAUAGGAAAGAAAGCCAUGACAAUCCAUCGGCUGAUUCAGCUUCUGUUUCACAUGGUAAUGACUGAGCUCCCUUCUUUGCUAAAGGAAGAGAACUUCUACCAACAAGGAGAGAUCAAGCAAAGUGGCUGUGGCCUCUUUGGCUUCUUCACCCAACAUGUGAAGGUACCUCUCUGGGUCAUUUACAACCUCCAGUCCAUUCUGCCUAUUUCUUGAUCCUCCUUUCACCAUAGAAACCAGCUACAAAGAUCUUGCUGACUUGUGCUCAUUUGUUUAGCCUAUGUCCAUCUCUUUUAUUUGCCCCAUUUCUUAGGGAGUUUAAACUCACUUAUUGGGAAAUUCUUCAAAGUUACUAAGAUCUUAUUAUCAAUAGGCUAUAUGACCUGAUCCAAAAGCCAGAAGAGACAUGCAGUACCAUGAAUUCCAGUUAUACAGGUAUCUUCAAGCCAGUAUUUCUUAAUGAUAGAAUGUGGUCUAUUGGACACAGGUUAUUUUCUAAGUGGAGCAGUUAGAGAAAUUAUGAUUUUAUGUGGGUACUUUUUUGAGAGAAAAUGUUUAGAGCAGUUAUAAUUUAGCUUUAAUAGUUUAGCUUUGCUAGAGAAAACAAACUUGUUGGCUAUAUAUCCAAAUAUUUCUUAUAGGCUGUUAAGACAACAAAGCCUUUUAUACAGUUUCUUCUUUACAUUGGGAGAUUGCUACUUAAAUAAGAACACUGAAAGCAUGUAUUCUGAGAGAUUUUGUUGUUCAGAGAGUGUAAAUUUUUUAAUUUAAAUAAAAGAUGAAAAAAAUUAAUGAAGGAACUAUGU
rnacentral:lncRNA from 1 species